CUGAAAUAAACCUAGAUUUAGCAAAAACGUAAAAUGAAAUAAGUAUUUUAGUUCGACUCAGUCGGUUGUGAAUGAUUAUGGUUUGUGUCAAAACCUUGAAACUAUACAGGUUGAAACUUCAAACUUGAAUGGUUAUAUUAUCACGUUCAAUAGAAAAUUGCAAAUGCUAUUCAAAAUUUCAAACUCGAGACUUACAGAGUGCUCUCUAAGAACUAUGGUGGAUCUCUUUAGAAUCGUAAUAGUGGAUCACUAUUAGCGGUUGUAAAUCAGAACCGGUUGCACGAGACCGUUGAAUUCACAUCUGUAGUGCACAUAUGGAAUACACCAAUAACAAUAGAUAUGUGUACUGUACCCGUAUGACUCGGAAUUUAACGGAAAAAAUUUGAAUUCUCAGACACGACCUGUGCGACAAAGGAUAUAGUGAUAGUUGGUGCUGACUGUCGAGGGGAAGCAAGUUUCCAUAUCGGGACGAACGAUGAAGUUGCGCCGCAAUGACCGCGACCUUCGUAAACAGCGGGCGUGGUGUGGUCAUUCAGUAUUUAACGGAUAGAGUUACCGUUUGUGUGUGACACCGAAAAUUUUACCACGACAUUAUGAACGAAACCGUUGCUUAUAAGGGUCGUUAUAGACACUGCAAUCAAAAAUACAUACACAUUAACACAUGGUAUAGUAUGGACGUAUAGUAUACACAUGUUAUAGCAGUACACAAUGUCACGCACGAUUUUCAACGGGUAAUGCAUGGAAUCGUUUUUAGCAAUUGCACGUGGAAGUGUUAUUAAAACGAAACAUGAUCGCACAAUAUUAUACUGUGAACUGUGUUUACGUCCUUUACGAAAUCAAUA